CUGGCGGCGUGCUUAACNCAUGCAAGUCGAACGGAGAUACCAUGUGAGCGUAAGAUGCUUGCAUCAACAAUCUUUUGGUAUCUUAGUGGCGGACGGGUGAGUAACGCGUGGGUAACCUGCCUCAUACAGGGGGAUAACACUUAGAAAUGACUGCUAAUACCGCAUAAGCGCACAGUACCGCAUGGUACAGUGUGAAAAACUCCGGUGGUAUGAGAUGGACCCGCGUCUGAUUAGCUAGUUGGUAAGGUAACGGCUUACCAAGGCGACGAUCAGUAGCCGGCCUGAGAGGGUGAUCGGCCACAUUGGGACUGAGACACGGCCCAAACUCCUACGGGAGGCAGCAGUGGGGAAUAUUGCACAAUGGGGGAAACCCUGAUGCAGCGACGCCGCGUGAGCGAUGAAGUAUUUCGGUAUGUAAAGCUCUAUCAGCAGGGAAGAAAAUGACGGUACCUGACUAAGAAGCACCGGCUAAAUACGUG
rnacentral:rRNA from 1 species